rnacentral:rRNA from 1 species
UUAAGCGACUAAGCGUACACGGUGGAUGCCCUGGCAGUCAGAGGCGAUGAAGGACGUGCUAAUCUGCGAUAAGCGUCGGUGAGGUGAUAUGAACCGUUAUAACCGGCGAUUUCCGAAUGGGGAAACCCAGUGUGUUUCGACACACUAUCAUUAACUGAAUCCAUAGGUUAAUGAGGCGAACCGGGGGAACUGAAACAUCUAAGUACCCCGAGGAAAAGAAAUCAACCGAGAUUCCCCCAGUAGCGGCGAGCGAACGGGGAGGAGCCCAGAGCCUGAAUCAGUGUGUGUGUUAGUGGAAGCGUCUGGAAAGGCGCGCGAUACAGGGUGACAGCCCCGUACACAAAAAUGCACAUGCUGUGAGCUCGAUGAGUAGGGCGGGACACGUGGUAUCCUGUCUGAAUAUGGGGGGACCAUCCUCCAAGGCUAAAUACUCCUGACUGACCGAUAGUGAACCAGUACCGUGAGGGAAAGGCGAAAAGAACCCCGGCGAGGGGAGUGAAAAAGAACCUGAAACCGUGUACGUACAAGCAGUGGGAGCCUCUUUAUGGGGUGACUGCGUACCUUUUGUAUAAUGGGUCAGCGACUUAUAUUCUGUAGCAAGGUUAACCGAAUAGGGGAGCCGAAGGGAAACCGAGUCUUAACUGGGCGUUAAGUUGCAGGGUAUAGACCCGAAACCCGGUGAUCUAGCCAUGGGCAGGUUGAAGGUUGGGUAACACUAACUGGAGGACCGAACCGACUAAUGUUGAAAAAUUAGCGGAUGACUUGUGGCUGGGGGUGAAAGGCCAAUCAAACCGGGAGAUAGCUGGUUCUCCCCGAAAGCUAUUUAGGUAGCGCCUCGUGAAUUCAUCUCCGGGGGUAGAGCACUGUUUCGGCAAGGGGGUCAUCCCGACUUACCAACCCGAUGCAAACUGCGAAUACCGGAGAAUGUUAUCACGGGAGACACACGGCGGGUGCUAACGUCCGUCGUGAAGAGGGAAACAACCCAGACCGCCAGCUAAGGUCCCAAAGUCAUGGUUAAGUGGGAAACGAUGUGGGAAGGCCCAGACAGCCAGGAUGUUGGCUUAGAAGCAGCCAUCAUUUAAAGAAAGCGUAAUAGCUCACUGGUCGAGUCGGCCUGCGCGGAAGAUGUAACGGGGCUAAACCAUGCACCGAAGCUGCGGCAGCGACGCUUAUGCGUUGUUGGGUAGGGGAGCGUUCUGUAAGCCUGUGAAGGUGUGCUGUGAGGCAUGCUGGAGGUAUCAGAAGUGCGAAUGCUGACAUAAGUAACGAUAAAGCGGGUGAAAAGCCCGCUCGCCGGAAGACCAAGGGUUCCUGUCCAACGUUAAUCGGGGCAGGGUGAGUCGACCCCUAAGGCGAGGCCGAAAGGCGUAGUCGAUGGGAAACAGGUUAAUAUUCCUGUACUUGGUGUUACUGCGAAGGGGGGACGGAGAAGGCUAUGUUGGCCGGGCGACGGUUGUCCCGGUUUAAGCGUGUAGGCUGGUUUUCCAGGCAAAUCCGGAAAACCAAGGCUGAGGCGUGAUGACGAGGCACUACGGUGCUGAAGCGACAAAUGCCCUGCUUCCAGGAAAAGCCUCUAAGCAUCAGGUAACAUCAAAUCGUACCCCAAACCGACACAGGUGGUCAGGUAGAGAAUACCAAGGCGCUUGAGAGAACUCGGGUGAAGGAACUAGGCAAAAUGGUGCCGUAACUUCGGGAGAAGGCACGCUGAUAUGUAGGUGAAGCGACUUGCUCGUGGAGCUGAAAUCAGUCGAAGAUACCAGCUGGCUGCAACUGUUUAUUAAAAACACAGCACUGUGCAAACACGAAAGUGGACGUAUACGGUGUGACGCCUGCCCGGUGCCGGAAGGUUAAUUGAUGGGGUUAGCGGCAACGCGAAGCUCUUGAUCGAAGCCCCGGUAAACGGCGGCCGUAACUAUAACGGUCCUAAGGUAGCGAAAUUCCUUGUCGGGUAAGUUCCGACCUGCACGAAUGGCGUAAUGAUGGCCAGGCUGUCUCCACCCGAGACUCAGUGAAAUUGAACUCGCUGUGAAGAUGCAGUGUACCCGCGGCAAGACGGAAAGACCCCGUGAACCUUUACUAUAGCUUGACACUGAACAUUGAGCCUUGAUGUGUAGGAUAGGUGGGAGGCUUUGAAGUGUGGACGCCAGUCUGCAUGGAGCCGACCUUGAAAUACCACCCUUUAAUGUUUGAUGUUCUAACGUUGGCCCGUAAUCCGGGUUGCGGACAGUGUCUGGUGGGUAGUUUGACUGGGGCGGUCUCCUCCUAAAGAGUAACGGAGGAGCACGAAGGUUGGCUAAUCCUGGUCGGACAUCAGGAGGUUAGUGCAAUGGCAUAAGCCAGCUUGACUGCGAGCGUGACGGCGCGAGCAGGUGCGAAAGCAGGUCAUAGUGAUCCGGUGGUUCUGAAUGGAAGGGCCAUCGCUCAACGGAUAAAAGGUACUCCGGGGAUAA